CUCUACAGCUAUACCACCCUGAAUGCACCCGAUCUCAUCUGAUCUCGGAAGCCAAGCAGGGUCGGGCCUCAUUAGUGAUUGGAUGGGAGACCACCUGGGAAUACGGGGUGCUAUACUGA
rnacentral:rRNA from 1 species